CGGGAGGCAGCAGUAGGGAAUCUUCCGCAAUGGACGAAAGUCUGACGGAGCAACGCCGCGUGAACGAAGAAGGCCUUCGGGUCGUAAAGUUCUGUUGUUAGGGAAGAACAAGUACCAGAGUAACUGCUGGUACCUUGACGGUACCUAACCAGAAAGCCACGGCUAACUACGUGCCAGCAGCCGCGGUAAUACGUAGGUGGCAAGCGUUGUCCGGAAUUAUUGGGCGUAAAGCGCGCGCAGGUGGUUCUUUAAGUCUGAUGUGAAAGCCCACGGCUCAACCGUGGAGGGUCAUUGGAAACUGGGGAACUUGAGUGCAGAAGAGGAAAGUGGAAUUCCAAGUGUAGCGGUGAAAUGCGUAGAGAUUUGGAGGAACACCAGUGGCGAAGGCGACUUUCUGGUCUGUAACUGACACUGAGGCGCGAAAGCGUGGGGAGCAAACAGGAUUAGAUACCCUGGUAGUCCACGCCGUAAACGAUGAGUGCU
rnacentral:rRNA from 1 species